rnacentral:rRNA from 1 species
UGAAUACGAGACGCUAAGGCGUCGAAGUAGUGUAUGUCAUACUUCCAAGAAAAGCUUGCACUGUCAUAGAUAAAAAACGCCUGUACCAUAACCGACACAGGUGGGUAGGUAGAGUAUACUAAGGGGCGCGAGAUAACUCUCUCUAAGGAACUCGGCAAAAUAACUCCGUAACUUCGGGAGAAGGAGUGCCUUAUUCGUAAGGUUGCAAUAACAAGAUCCAAGCAACUGUUUAUCAAAAACACAGGUCUCCGCUAAGUCGUAAGACGAUGUAUGGGGGCUGACGCCUGCCCAGUGCCAGAAGGUUAAAGAAGUUGGUUAGCAAUUGCGAAGCUGAUAACUGAAGCCCUGGUGAACGGCGGCCGUAACAAUAACGGUCCUAAGGUAGCGAAAUUCCUUGUCGGGUAAGUUCCGACCCGCACGAAAGGCGUAAUGAUUUGGAUACUGUCUCGGAGAGGGGCUCGGUGAAAUAGACUUGUCUGUGAAGAUGCGGACUACCUGCACCAGGACAGAAAGACCCUAUGAAGCUUUACUGUAACUUGAAAUUGAAAUUGGACUUUAUUCGCGCAGCAUAGGUGGGAGGCGUUGAUUAUAAUCUUGCGGGAUUAUUGGAGCCAUCAGUGAGAUACCACUCUUGUAAUGUUAGAUUUCUAACUUUGAAUCAUUAUCUGGUCAAAGAACAGUUUCAGGCGGGCAGUUUGACUGGGGCGGUCGCCUCCUAAACGGUAACGGAGGCGUACAAAGGUUUCCUCUGAACGGUUAGAAAUCGUAUCUAGAGUGUAAAGGCAUAAGGAAGCUUGACUGUGAGACCUGCAAGUCGAGCAGGGACGAAAGUCGGUCUUAGUGAUCUGACGGUACUGAGUGGAAAGGCCGUCACUCAAUGGGUAAAAGUUACUCUAGGGAUAACAGGCUGAUCUCCCCCAAGAGUUCACAUCGACGGGGAGGUUUGGCACCUUGAUGUCGGCUCAUCGCAUCCUGGGGCGGUAGUACGUCCCAAGGGUUGGGCUGUUCGCCCAUGAAAGCGGUACGCGAGCUGGGUUCAGAACGUCGUGAGACAGUUCGGUCCAUAUCCGGUGUAGGCGUUAGAAUAUUGAGAGGAGCCUUCUUUAGUACGAGAGGACCGAGAAGGACAUACCUCUGGUGUACCAGUUAUCGUGCCAACGGUAAACGCUGGGUAGCUAUGUAUGGAGUGGAUAACCGCUGAAAGCAUCUAAGUGGGAAGCCCACCUCAAGAUAAGUAUUCUCC